rnacentral:rRNA from 1 species
AUUGAACGCUGGCGGCAGGCCUAACACAUGCAAAUCGAGCGGCAGCGGAAAGUAGCUUGCUACUUUGCCGGCGAGCGGCGGACGGGUGAGUAAUGUCUGGGAAACUGCCUGAUGGAGGGGGAUAACUACUGGAAACGGUAGCUAAUACCGCAUAAUGUCGCAAGACCAAAGAAGGGGACCUUCGGGCCUCUUGCCAUCAGAUGUGCCCAGAUGGGAUUAGCUAGUAGGUGGGGUAACGGCUCACCUAGGCGACGAUCCCUAGCUGGUCUGAGGGGAUGACCAGCCACACUGGAACUGAGACACGGUCCAGACUCCUACGGGAGGCAGCAGUGGGGAAUAUUGCACAAUGGGCGCAAGCCUGAUGCAGCCAUGCCGCGUGUAUGAAGAAGGCCUUCGGGUUGUAAAGUACUUUCAGCGGGGAGGAAGGUGUUGAGGUUAAUAACCUCAGCAAUUGACGUUACCCGCAGAAGAAGCACCGGCUAACUCCGUGCCAGCAGCCGCCGUAA